GCAGUCGAACGAACUUCCGUUAAUUGAUUAUGACGUGCUUGCACUGAAUGAGAUUUUAACACGAAGUGAGUGGCGGACGGGUGAGUAACACGUGGGUAACCUGCCCAGAAGCAGGGGAUAACACCUGGAAACAGAUGCUAAUACCGUAUAACAGAGAAAACCGCCUGGUUUUCUUUUAAAAGAUGGCUCUGCUAUCACUUCUGGAUGGACCCGCGGCGCAUUAGCUAGUUGGUGAGGUAACGGCUCACCAAGGCGAUGAUGCGUAGCCGACCUGAGAGGGUAAUCGGCCACAUUGGGACUGAGACACGGCCCAGACUCCUACGGGAGGCAGCAGUAGGGAAUCUUCCACAAUGGACGCAAGUCUGAUGGAGCAACGCCGCGUGAGUGAAGAAGGGUUUCGGCUCGUAAAGCUCUGUUGUUAAAGAAGAACGUGGGUGAGAGUAACUGUUCACCCAGUGACGGUAUUUAACCAGAAAGCCACGGCUAACUACGUGCCAGCAGCCGCGGUAAUACGUAGGUGGCAAGCGUUAUCCGGAUUUAUUGGGCGUAAAGCGAGCGCAGGCGGUCUUUUAAGUCUAAUGUGAAAGCCUUCGGCUCAACCGAAGAAGUGCAUUGGAAACUGGGAGACUUGAGUGCAGAAGAGGACAGUGGAACUCCAUGUGUAGCGGUGAAAUGCGUAGAUAUAUGGAAGAACACCAGUGGCGAAGGCGGCUGUCUGGUCUGUAACUGACGCUGAGGCUCGAAAGCAUGGGUAGCGAACAGGAUUAGAUACCCUGGUAGUCCAUGCCGUAAACGAUGAUUACUAAGUGUUGGAGGGUUUCCGCCCUUCAGUGCUGCAGCUAACGCAUUAAGUAAUCCGCCUGGGGAGUACGACCGCAAGGUUGAAACUCAAAAGAAUUGACGGGGGCCCGCACAAGCGGUGGAGCAUGUGGUUUAAUUCGAAGCUACGCGAAGAACCUUACCAGGUCUUGACAUCUUCUGCCAACCUAAGAGAUUAGGCGUUCCCUUCGGGGACAGAAUGACAGGUGGUGCAUGGUUGUCGUCAGCUCGUGUCGUGAGAUGUUGGGUUAAGUCCCGCAACGAGCGCAACCCUUAUUACUAGUUGCCAGCAUUCAGUUGGGCACUCUAGUGAGACUGCCGGUGACAAACCGGAGGAAGGUGGGGACGACGUCAAAUCAUCAUGCCCCUUAUGACCUGGGCUACACACGUGCUACAAUGGAUGGUACAACGAGUCGCGAAACCGCGAGGUUUAGCUAAUCUCUUAAAACCAUUCUCAGUUCGGACUGUAGGCUGCAACUCGCCUACACGAAGUCGGAAUCGCUAGUAAUCGCGGAUCAGCAUGCCGCGGUGAAUACGUUCCCGGGCCUUGUACACACCGCCCGUCACACCAUGAGAGUUUGUAACACCCAAAGCCGGUGG
rnacentral:rRNA from 2 species